GGUUUCUCUGUGUAGCACUGGCUGUCCUGGAACUCACUCUGUAGACCAGGCUGGCCUCGAACUCACAGAGAUCCACCUGCCUCUGCUUCCCAAGUGCUGGGACUAAAGGCGUGCGCCACCACUGCCC
rnacentral:miRNA from 1 species